UUAUGUUAAAAACAGCUCGACUCAGCGCGCUAUAUGAUCUUAUUAUAUGGGAAUACUAUGAAUCAGCGCAUAGAUACGAAGCACGCCCAAGUCGCGGUCCUCAAGUAGUCUAAUUUCGGCUCUUCACCGCAGAAACCAGAGAGGCCUUAACAAGAACAAUACGGAAUCAACUCCUUGGAUGUAUCCCAUAUUGAAAAAUGGGAAGCAGACUGGUGCUUGGGGACAAAGAAUGUGCAAAAUCCUACAAUAGAAGGCAUGAUUGCGGGAACGCAAGGGCCUACAAUUUGCUCUCUCCUCAGCAGGAAGGACCCAAAUGCAAAGAAAAAAUGAUUGAAUUCCUGUGUAGUUGUUGUUUGCUGUGCGUAUGCUGCCCUCUAUCUGUUGUAUGUUGCAUCAAGCUUCCUUGCAAAAUCUGUCAUCAAGCGUUGCGGCGAGCGUGGUACUGGGUUUGCAGUGGAUCAAGACAUAGGAGUUCUGCAGACUACUCUUCGUUUUCUGACAUUGAUUCUGAUGUUGCAUAUGGAAAGGUUAAGUCUGGUGUUUGCGGAGAUUGAACAGGCAUAUCCAUUUUCGUAUUACUAGUGAGCUGCAGCUCGGUCAAGCUCGAUCUGAACCCCGAACAACCCUAUUCUUCAUGUUUUUGUUUUUCUACAUUAUUUUGUUAGCAGUCAAUUUUUUUUUUUUUUGGGGGGCCUGAAUCAGCUGUAAAUUCAGAACCACCUUUUUCACAAGGCAUGUUAAUUAAUGCUAUGGAAUAUCGGAUAUCAUAUCAGAAAUAUGCAACCUGCUCAUGUAAUAUGAAAAAGUUCUGGUCUUGGCCUCGGAUGAUCGUUUGAAAGAAGGCAUUUUAUUUUUAAGUAUAAAAAA